UGUUCUUCUUUCUUCUCUGCUCCGUCUGUAACGAAUGUGCUGUGUAUUCAUUUAUUCAUCUGUUGGUACCAGAUUGUGUGUCGUCCAUUCCAUGUGGGGAUAGAUGUGAUUUUGGACCAGAUUGUGUGUGGAAGUAAAACAAAACGACCGGCCAAAAUGUCUGA